UACGGAGGGUGCAAGCGUUAUCCGGAUUUACUGGGUUUAAAGGGUGUGUAGGCGGGUCUUUAAGUUAGUGGUGAAAUCUCCGAGCUUAACUUGGAAACUGCCAUUGAUACUAUUGAUCUUGAAUUCUGUUGAGGUGGGCGGAAUAUGUCAUGUAGCGGUGAAAUGCAUAGAUAUGACAUAGAACACCAAUUGCGAAGGCAGCUCACUAAGCAGAUAUUGACGCUGAGGCACGAAAGCGUGGGGAUCAAACAGG
rnacentral:rRNA from 1 species